GUGGUGUUCCGCGAAAUUCCCUA
rnacentral:siRNA from 1 species